UACGGGGGGAGCAAGCGUUGUUCGGAUUUACUGGGCGUAAAGGGCGGGUAGGCGGCCACCGCAAGUCAGUUGUGAAAUCUCCGGGCUUAACCCGGAAAGGUCAACUGAUACUGCGGGGCUAGAGUGCAGAAGGGGCAACUGGAAUUCUCGGUGUAGCGGUGAAAUGCGUAGAUAUCGCUUGGAACGCCGAAGGUGAAAACAGGUCGCUGGGGACGCGCCGACGCUGAGACACGAAAGCCAGGGGAGCAAACGGG
rnacentral:rRNA from 1 species